UGCUAUUAAUUGUAUUUUGCCUAAGGAGUGGAAGGGUGUAAACUAUGGAGGCUUGGAGCGAUUAGUUAUGUUUGUUGACCUGGAUUGUCGUUUUGAUGUGUUAAGCCUUUCACGAUUACUGAAGCAGCGGAUCAUUCGAGCAAAUGUAUUUGGUUUAUUUUGUCUAAUCAGGCAAUGGCAUAGGCCAGAAGCUAAAUAAGGUGGAUAAUUCUCCUAGUGGAUGAUAGGAUGCACACACAGAAUAUGACAAAGAAUUGUUCGCUGUCAGCAUGAGAAGGUUCUUGUACAUCCGCUGUUAUGAUAGUUUUGAAUUUCUUGCUACUCUUAAGACGUUGCAUUUCCAACUUACAAAAGGAAAAAGAGGCACAUGGCAGUGGUGUUUAUUUGCUUAUGAUUGACAGUAUUGGAGCUUUUUAUUGGAUGGAUUGUGCUUCACCAUCUAUACCGCCAGGGAGCAACAACAGGAGAAGUCUGUCUUUGCAAAGUGUGUCAGACAUUGCCGUUCAAGAGAUCCAGAAGAUUCUUGUGGUGCAUCCGAUGCUUGUUCUAAACUACAAAAGCAGCAAGUUUACAGGAUAAAUUUACAUCUCGCGAAGUUAUUAGGAGUACAGGGCAGUUGUCUAUUGAGAGUAACUUGGACUCAAGGACCAUUAGGAGUAGUACUAAUGCUCAACUGUAUCGGGAGUAUAUGCCUUCAGUAUGGCAGUCCUUUGUUUCACACAGAAUACUUGUGCGCCCAGAUGAUAGUAAAUAUCAAAAGCAGCCCAUCUAUUUAUCCGAAUGGCUGUUGCCAUCCUUGAAGUUGUCAGACAAAUCACAAUCAAUGAUGUAUGUGCAAUAUAAGAUUUGAGUCUUUAAAAUGUUCUAUCUGUAUUCAAGAAGUCAUUCUCCUGCUUCACUGCAACAUAUAGGAUGGCACAUACAUCGUAGCGUGAAAUUCACAUGAUUGUAGACUGGCUUUUCUCAACCUGAGGUCAAGCAUUCAAACUGAAGCCCAAAAUGAAAUUCCGAAAAUGUCGCUUGCUCUUCUGGCAGUAGUUUCAACUGAAGUGAGAUGCAAUUAUGGAAGCUUUCUACCUAUUCAGAUUCUAAUGAGAUGCAUACCAUAUUGAGACAUGUUCGGCAUGAAAUAAACCCGGAAGGGAAGCCACAGGAGCAGGAAUGGAGAGAAAGCGAAAGAGGAAAGGUGUUUUCCCAUUUGAUUGAUCGAUUCAGAGUUGGUCCAAAUUUUAGAGUGAUGUGAAUGGUGAUUUGUAGGACUCAAAGGUCUUUGCAAGUUCUGGCAACCUGAGAGAAGAUGACAUCCAUCUGCUUUCCACCAGCCAAUGUAAAUGACAACCAAGGCAAGAAAGAAAAGACGUUAAAUAGUUCUCGCGUAACUUGGUGAUUCUUGAAUGUUUUCUGAGUUUGUGACACAAAUCUGGAGAAGAGGAAAAACUGGACAGUGAAGCAGAAGCUGGAGAAAGAAGUUAAAGCUGCAUUUUUUCCAAUUGGCAAUCUUUCGUGUUGCUUUUGUAUAUAAGAUAAUAACUAGGAAUGACAAGAAGUCUUGUUUGGGGAGUUCUUAGGAUAUAUGCUGUGUUUUUAGAUAAAUUAAUGAAAUGACUCGACUCGCUGACCAAAAUGGUCAUUGGGAAAAAAUUUACUCGUACCUUGGAUUUACACCAAGCAAAUGAAUGCAAGACAUGUAUUUAGUACUA